rnacentral:rRNA from 1 species
GAUGAACGCUAGCUAUAGGCUUAACACAUGCAAGUCGAGGGACCGGCGCACGGGUGAGUAACGCGUAUCCAACCUGCCCAUAACUAAGGGAUCACCCAGCGAAAGUUGGACUAAUACCUUAUGGUUAUGGAUGGGGAUGCGUCUGAUUAGCUUGUGGGCGGGGUAACGGCCGACCAAGGCAACGAUCAGUAGGGGUUCUGAGAGGAAGGUCCCCCACAUUGGAACUGAGACACGGACCAAACUCCUACGGGAGGCAGGAGUGAGGAAUAUUGGUCAAUGGACGCAAGUCUGAACCAGCCAAGUAGCGGGCAGGAUGACGGCGUAUGGGUGGUAAACUACUUUUAUAUGGGGAUAGGUACCAUAUGAAUAAGGACCGGCUAAGUCCGUGCCAGCAGCCGCGGUAAUAC